GAUGAACGCUGGCGGCGUGCCUAAUACAUGCAAGUCGAGCGAACGGACGAGAAGCUUGCUUCUCUGAUGUUAGCGGCGGACGGGUGAGUAACACGUGGAUAACCUACCUAUAAGACUGGGAUAACUUCGGGAAACCGGAGCUAAUACCGGAUAAUAUUUUGAACCGCAUGGUUCAAAAGUAAAAGACGGUCUUGCUGUCACUAAUAGAUGGAUCCGCGCUGCAUUAGUUGGUUGGUAAGGUAACGGCUUACCAAGGCAACGAUGCAUAGCCGACCUGAGAGGGUGAUCGGCCACACUGGAACUGAGACACGGUCCAGACUCCUACGGGAGGCAGCAGUAGGGGAUCUUCCGCAAAGGGCGAAAGCCUGACGGAGCAACGCCGCGUGAGUGAUGAAGGUCUUCGGAUCGUAAAACUCUGUUAUUAGGGAAGAACAUAUGUGUAAGUAACUGUGCACAUCUUGACGGUACCUAAUCAGAAAGCCACGGCUAACUACGUG
rnacentral:rRNA from 1 species